GUCUCAGUUCAGAUUGCAGGCUGCAACUCGCCUGCAUGAAGUCGGAAUUGCUAGUAAUCGUAGGUCAGCAUACUACGGUGAAUACGUUCCCGGGCCUUGUACACACCGCCCGUCAAACCAUGAGAGUUGGCAACACCCGAAGUCGGUAGUCUAACCGCAAGGAGGACGCCGCCGAAGGUGGGGUCGAUGAUUAGGGUUAAGUCGUAACAAGGUAUC
rnacentral:rRNA from 1 species